rnacentral:rRNA from 1 species
GAUGAACGCUGGCGGCGUGCCUAAUACAUGCAAGUCGAGCGAACAGACGAGGAGCUUGCUCCUCUGACGUUAGCGGCGGACGGGUGAGUAACACGUGGAUAACCUACCUAUAAGACUGGGAUAACUUCGGGAAACCGGAGCUAAUACCGGAUAAUAUAUUGAACCGCAUGGUUCAAUAGUGAAAGACGGUUUUGCUGUCACUUAUAGAUGGAUCCGCGCCGCAUUAGCUAGUUGGUAAGGUAACGGCUUACCAAGGCAACGAUGCGUAGCCGACCUGAGAGAGUUGUCGCCCAUACUGGAACUGAGCCACGGUCCAGACUCCUACGAGAGGCAGCAUUAGGGAAUCUUCCGCAAUGCGCGAAAGCCUGACGGAGCAACGCCGCGUGAGUGAUGAAGCUCUUCGUAUCGUAAAACUCUGUUAUUAGGGAAGAAAAAAUGUGUAAGUAACUAUGCACGUCUUGACGGUACCUAAUCAGAAAGCCACGGCUAACUACGUG